rnacentral:rRNA from 1 species
GACGAACGCUGGCGGCGUGCCUAACACAUGCAAGUCGAACGGAAAGGCCCUGAUUUUGUGGUGUGCUCGAGUGGCGAACGGGUGAGUAACACGUGUGUAACCUGCCCUUGUCUUUGGGAUAACUUCAGGAAACUGGAGUUAAUAUCGGAUAGGAGACCAUGCAGCAUGGUGGGGGUUGGAAAGUUUCGGCGGUUGGGGAUGGACGCGCGGCUUAUCAGCUUGUUGGUGGGGUGGUGGCUUACCAAGGCUUUGACGGGUAGCCGGCCUGUGUGGGUGACCGGCCACAUUGGGACUGAGAUACGGCCCAGACUCCUACGGGAGGCAGCAGUGGGGAAUAUUGCACAAUGGGCGGAAGCCUGAUGCAGCAACGCCGCGUGCGGGAUGACGGCCUUCGGGUUGUAAACCGCUUUCGCCUGUGACGAAGCGUGAGUGACGGUAAUGGGUAAAGAAGCACCGGCUAACUACGUG